rnacentral:rRNA from 1 species
AUUGAACGCUGGCGGCAUGCUUUACACAUGCAAGUCGAACGGCAGCGCGGGCUUCGGCCUGGCGGCGAGUGGCGAACGGGUGAGUAAUACAUCGGAACGUGCCCAGUAGCGGGGGAUAGCUCGGCGAAAGCCGGAUUAAUACCGCAUACGACCUGAGGGUGAAAGCGGGGGAUCUUCGGACUUCGCGCUAUUGGAGCGGCCGAUGGCCGAUUAGCUAGUUGGUGGGGUAAAGGCCUACCAAGGCGACGAUCUGUAGCUGGUCUGAGAGGACGACCAGCCACACUGGGACUGAGACACGGCCCAGACUCCUACGGGAGGCAGCAGUGGGGAAUUUUGGACAAUGGGCGAAAGCCUGAUCCAGCAAUGCCGCGUGUGUGAUGAAGGCCUUCGGGUUGUAAAGCACUUUUGGCGGGAACGAAAAGGACUGUGCCAAUACCACGGUUCGAUGACGGUACCCGCAUAAUAAGCACCGGCUAACUACGUG